rnacentral:rRNA from 1 species
UACGGGGGGGGCAAGCGUUGUUCGGAAUUACUGGGCGUAAAGCGUGCGCAGGCGGCUUCCUAAGUCAGAUGUGAAAUCCCCGGGCUUAACCUGGGAACUGCGUUUGAAACUGGGAGGCUAGAGUGCGGCAGAGGGGGGUGGAAUUCCACGUGUAGCAGUGAAAUGCGUAGAUAUGUGGAGGAACACCGAUGGCGAAGGCAGCCCCCUGGGCCUGCACUGACGCUCAUGCACGAAAGCGUGGGGAGCAAACAGG